UACAGAGGAGCCAAGCGUUGUCCGGAUUGACUGGGCGUAAAGCGCACGCAGGCGGUCUGGCGCGUGGGGUGUGAAAUCUGGCCGCUUAACGGCCAGGCGCCAUCCCAUACGGCCGGACUGGAGCCUUGCAGAGGUCGGUGGAAUUGCCGGUGUAGUGGUGAAAUGCGUAGAUAUCGAGAGGAACACCUGCGGCGAAGGCGGGUUGCUGGGCUGACACUGACGCUGAUGCGCGAAAGCCAGGGGAGCGAACGGG
rnacentral:rRNA from 1 species